UACAGAGGGUGCGAGCGUUAAUCGGAAUUACUGGGCGUAAAGCGUGCGUAGACGGUUAUUUAAGUCGGAUGUGAAAGCCCCGGGCUCAACCUGGGAAUUGCAUUCGAGACUGAAUAGCUAGGGUGCGGUAGAGGGAAGCGGAAUUUCCGGUGUAGCGGUGAAAUGCGUAGAUAUCGGAAGGAACAUCAGUGGCGAAAGCGGCUUCCUGGACCGGUAUUGACGCUGAGGCGCGAAAGCCAGGGGAGCAAACGGG
rnacentral:rRNA from 1 species